AUGACGAGCGGCGGACGGGUGAGUAAUGCCUGGGAAUUUGCCCAUUUGUGGGGGAUAACAGUUGGAAACGACUGCUAAUACCGCAUACGCCCUACGGGGGAAAGCAGGGGACCUUCGGGCCUUGCGCUGAUGGAUAAGCCCAGGUGGGAUUAGCUAGUAGGUGGGGUAAUGGCUCACCUAGGCAACGAUCCCUAGCUGGUCUGAGAGGAUGAUCAGCCACACUGGGACUGAGACACGGCCCAGACUCCUACGGGAGGCAGCAGUGGGGAAUAUUGCACAAUGGGGGAAACCCUGAUGCAGCCAUGCCGCGUGUGUGAAGAAGGCCUUCGGGUUGUAAAGCACUUUCAGCGAGGAGGAAAGGGUGUAAGUUAAUACCUUACAUCUGUGACGUUACUCGCAGAAGAAGCACCGGCUAACUCCGUGCCAGCAGCCGCGGUAAUACGGAGGGUGCGAGCGUUAAUCGGAAUUACUGGGCGUAAAGCGUGCGCAGGCGGUUUGUUAAGCGAGAUGUGAAAGCCCCGGGCUCAACCUGGGAACCGCAUUUCGAACUGGCAAACUAGAGUCUUGUAGAGGGGGGUAGAAUUCCAGGUGUAGCGGUGAAAUGCGUAGAGAUCUGGAGGAAUACCGGUGGCGAAGGCGGCCCCCUGGACAAAGACUGACGCUCAGGCACGAAAGCGUGGGGAGCAAACAGGAUUAGAUAC
rnacentral:rRNA from 1 species